rnacentral:rRNA from 1 species
CGAUUCCCUUAGUAGCGGCGAGCGAAACGGGAAGAGCCCAAACCAACAAGCUUGCUUGUUGGGGUUGUAGGACACUCUAUACGGAGUUACAAAGGACGACAUUAGACGAAUCAUCUGGAAAGAUGAAUCAAAGAAGGUAAUAAUCCUGUAGUCGAAAAUGUUGUCUCUCUUGAGUGGAUCCUGAGUACGACGGAGCACGUGAAAUUCCGUCGGAAUCUGGGAGGACCAUCUCCUAAGGCUAAAUACUCUCUAGUGACCGAUAGUGAACCAGUACCGUGAGGGAAAGGUGAAAAGCACCCCGGAAGGGGAGUGAAAUAGAACCUGAAACCGUGUGCUUACAAGUAGUCAGAGCCCGUUAAUGGGUGAUGGCGUGCCUUUUGUAGAAUGAACCGGCGAGUUACGAUUUGAUGCAAGGUUAAGCAGUAAAUGUGGAGCCGUAGCGAAAGCGAGUCUGAAUAGGGCGUUUAGUAUUUGGUCGUAGACCCGAAACCAGGUGAUCUACCCUUGGUCAGGUUGAAGUUCAGGUAACACUGAAUGGAGGACCGAACCGACUUACGUUGAAAAGUGAGCGGAUGAACUGAGGGUAGCGGAGAAAUUCCAAUCGAACCUGGAGAUAGCUGGUUCUCUCCGAAAUAGCUUUAGGGCUAGCCUCAAGUGAUGAUUAUUGGAGGUAGAGCACUGUUUGGACGAGGGGCCCCUCUCGGGUUACCGAAUUCAGACAAACUCCGAAUGCCAAUUAAUUUAACUUGGGAGUCAGAACAUGGGUGAUAAGGUCCGUGUUCGAAAGGGAAACAGCCCAGACCACCAGCUAAGGUCCCAAAAUAUAUGUUAAGUGGAAAAGGAUGUGGCGUUGCCCAGACAACUAGGAUGUUGGCUUAGAAGCAGCCAUCAUUUAAAGAGUGCGUAAUAGCUCACUAGUCGAGUGACACUGCGCCGAAAAUGUACCGGGGCUAAACAUAUUACCGAAGCUGUGGAUUGUCCUUUGGACAAUGGUAGGAGAGCGUUCUAAGGGCGUUGAAGCAUGAUCGUAAGGACAUGUGGAGCGCUUAGAAGUGAGAAUGCCGGUGUGAGUAGCGAAAGACGGGUGAGAAUCCCGUCCACCGAUUGACUAAGGUUUCCAGAGGAAGGCUCGUCCGCUCUGGGUUAGUCGGGUCCUAAGCUGAGGCCGACAGGCGUAGGCGAUGGAUAACAGGUUGAUAUUCCUGUACCACCUAUAAUCGUUUUAAUCGAUGGGGGGACGCAGUAGGAUAGGCGAAGCGUGCGAUUGGAUUGCACGUCUAAGCAGUAAGGCUGAGUAUUAGGCAAAUCCGGUACUCGUUAAGGCUGAGCUGUGAUGGGGAGAAGACAUUGUGUCUUCGAGUCGUUGAUUUCACACUGCCGAGAAAAGCCUCUAGAUAGAAAAUAGGUGCCCGUACCGCAAACCGACACAGGUAGUCAAGAUGAGAAUUCUAAGGUGAGCGAGCGAACUCUCGUUAAGGAACUCGGCAAAAUGACCCCGUAACUUCGGGAGAAGGGGUGCUCUUUAGGGUUAACGCCCAGAAGAGCCGCAGUGAAUAGGCCCAAGCGACUGUUUAUCAAAAACACAGGUCUCUGCUAAACCGUAAGGUGAUGUAUAGGGGCUGACGCCUGCCCGGUGCUGGAAGGUUAAGAGGAGUGGUUAGCUUCUGCGAAGCUACGAAUCGAAGCCCCAGUAAACGGCGGCCGUAACUAUAACGGUCCUAAGGUAGCGAAAUUCCUUGUCGGGUAAGUUCCGACCCGCACGAAAGGCGUAACGAUUUGGGCACUGUCUCAACGAGAGACUCGGUGAAAUCAUAGUACCUGUGAAGAUGCAGGUUACCCGCGACAGGACGGAAAGACCCCGUGGAGCUUUACUGUAGCCUGAUAUUGAAAUUCGGCACAGCUUGUACAGGAUAGGUAGGAGCCUUUGAAACGUGAGCGCUAGCUUACGUGGAGGCGCUGGUGGG